rnacentral:rRNA from 12 species
AAUCGCUAGUAAUCGCAGGUCAGAAUACUGCGGUGAAUACGUUCCCGGGCCUUGUACACACCGCCCGUCACACCAUGGGAGUGGAUUGCACCAGAAGUGGUUAGUCUAACCUUCGGGAGGACGAUCACCACGGUGUGGUUCAUGACUGGGGUGAAGUCGUAACAAGGUAGCCGUAGGGGAACCUGCGGCUGGAUCACCUCCUU